UUGAACGCUGGCGGCAUGCCCUACACAUGCAAGUCGAACGGUAACGCGGGGGCAACCCUGGUGGACGAGUGGCGAACGGUGAGUAAUUACAUCGGAACGUGCCCAGUAGUGGGGGAUAAGCCGGCGAAAGCCGGAUUAAUACCGCAUACGAACUGAGGGUGAAGGAAGCGGGGGAUCGCAAGACCUCGCGCGAUUGGAGCGGCCGAUGUCAGAUUAGGUAGUUGGUGGGGUAAAGGCCUACCAAGCCGACGAUCUGUAGCUGGUCUGAGAGGACGACCAGCCACACUGGGACUGAGACACGGCCCAGACUCCUACGGGAGGCAGCAGUGGGGAAAUUUUGGACAAUGGGCGCAAGCCUGAUCCAGCCAUUCCGCGUGCAGGAUGAAGGCCUUCGGGUUGUAAAACCGCUUUCUGUUACGGAAGAAAAGGCUCUUGGUUAAUACCUCGAGGGCUGAUGGACGGUACUCGUAAGAAUAAGCACCGGCUAACUACGUGCCAGCGGCCGCGGUAAAUACGUAGGGUGCGAGCGUUAAUCGGAAUUACUGGGCGUAAGCGUGCGCAGGCGGGGGUUGUGUAAGACAGAUGUGAAAUCCCAGGGCUUAACCUGGGAACUGCAUUUGUGACUGUCACGGCUGGAGUGGCGGCAGAGGGGGAGUGGAAUUCCGCGUGUUGGUAGCAGUGAAAUGCGUAGAUAUGCGGAGGAACACCGAUGGCGAAGGCAAUCCCCUGGCCUGCACUGACGCUCAUGCACGAAAGCGUGGGGAGCAAACAGGAUUAGAUACCCUGGUAGUCCACGCCCUAAACGAUGUCAACUGGUUGUUGAGUUCCUUCAUCUGGAUCAGGUAACGUAAGCUAACGCGUGAAGUUGACCGCCAGGGGAGUACGGCCGCAAGGUUGAACUCAAAGGAAUUGACGGGGACCCGCAAUAAGCGGUGGAUGAUGCUGGUUUUAAUUCGAUGCAACGCGAAAAACCUUUACCUACCCUUGACAUGCCUGGAAUCCUUGCAGAGAUGUGGAAGUUGCCCGAAAGGGAGCCAGGACACAGGUGCUGCAUGGCUGUCGUCAGCUCGUGUCGUGAGGAUGUUGGGUUUAUAGUCCCGCAACGAGCGCAACCCUUGUCAUUAGUUGCUACGAAAGGGCACUCUAUGAGACUGCCGGUGAUAAAACCGGAGGAAGGGUGGGGAUGACGUCAGUCAUCAUGGCCCUUAUGGGUAGGGGCUACACACGGUCAUACAAUGGCCUGGUACAGAGGGUCUGCCAACCCGCGAGGGGGAGCUAAUCCCAUAAAACAGGUCGUAGUCCGGAUCGUAGUCUGCAACUCGACUUGCGUGAAGUCGGAAUCGCUAGUUAAUCGCGGAUCAGCAUGUCGCGGUGUGAAUACGUUCCGGGUCUUGUACACACCGCCGUCACACCAUGGGAGCGGGUUCUGCCAGAAGUAGUUAGCCUAACCGCAAGGAGGGCGAUUACCACGGCAGGGUUCGUGACUGGGGUG
rnacentral:rRNA from 1 species